ACAGUGUCUGGUGGGUAGUUUGACUGGGGCGGUCUCCUCCUAAAGAGUAACGGAGGAGCACGAAGGUUGGCUAAUCCUGGUCGGACAUCAGGAGGUUAGUGCAAUGGCAUAAGCCAGCUUGACUGCGAGCGUGACGGCGCGAGCAGGUGCGAAAGCAGGUCAUAGUGAUCCGGUGGUUCUGAAUGGAAGGGCCAUCGCUCAACGGAUAAAAGGUACUCCGGGGAUAACAGGCUGAUACCGCCCAAGAGUUCAUAUCGACGGCGGUGUUUGGCACCUCGAUGUCGGCUCAUCACAUCCUGGGGCUGAAGUAGGUCCCAAGGGUAUGGCUGUUCGCCAUUUAAAGUGGUACGCGAGCUGGGUUUAGAACGUCGUGAGACAGUUCGGUCCCUAUCUGCCGUGGGCGCUGGAGAACUGAGGGGGGCUGCUCCUAGUACGAGAGGACCGGAGUGGACGCAUCACUGGUGUUCGGGUUGUCAUGCCAAUGGCACUGCCCGGUAGCUAAAUGCGGAAGAGAUAAGUGCUGAAAGCAUCUAAGCACGAAACUUGCCCCGAGAUGAGUUCUCCCUGACCCUUUAAGGGUCCUGAAGGAACGUUGAAGACGACGACGUUGAUAGGCCGGGUGUGUAAGCGCAGCGAUGCGUUGAGCUAACCGGUACUAAUGAACCGUGAGGCUUAACCUUACAAC
rnacentral:rRNA from 1 species